rnacentral:rRNA from 1 species
AUUGAACGCUGGCGGCAGGCCUAACACAUGCAAGUCGAGCGGAUGAGUGGAGCUUGCUCCAUGAUUCAGCGGCGGACGGGUGAGUAAUGCCUAGGAAUCUGCCUGGUAGUGGGGGACAACGUUUCGAAAGGAACGCUAAUACCGCAUACGUCCUACGGGAGAAAGUGGGGGAUCUUCGGACCUCACGCUAUCAGAUGAGCCUAGGUCGGAUUAGCUAGUUGGUGAGGUAAAGGCUCACCAAGGCGACGAUCCGUAACUGGUCUGAGAGGAUGAUCAGUCACACUGGAACUGAGACACGGUCCAGACUCCUACGGGAGGCAGCAGUGGGGAAUAUUGGACAAUGGGCGAAAGCCUGAUCCAGCCAUGCCGCGUGUGUGAAGAAGGUCUUCGGAUUGUAAAGCACUUUAAGUUGGGAGGAAGGGCAGUAAGUUAAUACCUUGCUGUUUUGACGUUACCAACAGAAUAAGCGCCGGCUAACUUCGUG